rnacentral:rRNA from 1 species
AACGAACGCUGGCGGCGUGCCUAACACAUGCAAGUCGAACGAGAAAGGGGCUUCGGCUCCGAGUAAAGUGGCGCACGGGUGAGUAACACGUGGGUAACCUGCCUCUAAGAUUGGGAUAACUCGUCGAAAGAUGAGCUAAUACCGAAUAAGACCACAGUUCCCGCGGGAACAGGGGUCAAAGGUAGCCUCUGCUUGCAAGCUAUCACUUAGAGAUGGGCCUGCGCACCAUUAGCUAGUUGGUAGGGUAACGGCCUACCAAGGCAAAGAUGGUUAGCUGGUCUGAGAGGAUGAUCAGCCACACUGGAACUGAGACACGGUCCAGACUCCUACGGGAGGCAGCAGUGGGGAAUAUUGCGCAAGAGGCGAAAGCUUGACGCAGCAACGCCGCGUGAGUGAUGAAGGCCUUCGGGUCGUAAAGCUCUGUCGGGAGGAACGAAUGCUCCUGAGGUUAACAGCCUCGGGAGGUGACGGUACCUUCAAAGGAGGCACCGGCUAACUCUGUG